UGCCUUGGUGGCUCCACUACAGGUGGACAGU
rnacentral:sRNA from 1 species